rnacentral:rRNA from 1 species
UACGUAGGGGGCUAGCGUUGUCCGGAAUCAUUGGGCGUAAAGCGCGUGUAGGCGGCUCGGUAAGUCCGCUCUGAAAGUCGGGGGCUCAACCCUCGGAUGCGGGUGGAUACUGUCGAGCUUGAGUGCGGAAGAGGCGAGUGGAAUUCCUGGUGUAGCGGUGAAAUGCGCAGAUAUCAGGAGGAACACCAAUUGCGAAGGCAGCUCGCUGGGACGUUACUGACGCUGAGACGCGAAAGCGUGGGGAGCAAACAGG